CCGGGUCGCGGGCUCUUGCGCUUGUGCUGCGCGCUUUUGCGCCUUGGCGUCGUGCUCAUCCCGCUGGGGUUGACGUGAGGGGUUUUCCACGUUUCCUCCUGAGUCUGAGCGAUCAACAGCAAAAUUUCUGAGUUUCAAAAAUAUGUUCGAAGCGUUGUGAAGUGUCCGCCAGCUGCGCCCUCAAGGACGCCAGUGGGGUCAAGUGGACGCGCGAGUUAGUGACGCACCGUGACGCAACCGUGACGCAAGCGCAACUUUCGCGGGCUUCUGCGGGAUGUUUGUCCGGAGACAUUAGGUUCCAUGAUGAUUUUAGUGGAAUAAAACGUUUCUUGAAUGAAUAAGCAUUUGACUAUUUGCCUAGAAAAGCUUCAUGAAAAAACCGAAAACAUUUUCUAAGUGGAAAUAAGUUUGGAUGGAUGAGUGAUGGUCACUUGGAGCCUUUUCACGCAUUACUAGAUACCAAAAGGUAUACUUUGAAAGACCCUUAAAUGGUUGGAGACUUCACAUAUAGG